rnacentral:rRNA from 1 species
UACGGGGGGGGGCAAGCGUUGUUCGGAAUUACUGGGCGUAAAGGGCUCGUAGGCGGCCAACUAAGUCAGACGUGAAAUCCCUCGGCUCAACCGGGGAACUGCGUCUGAUACUGGGUGGCUUGAAUCCGGGAGAGGGAUGCGGAAUUCCAGGUGUAGCGGUGAAAUGCGUAGAUAUCGGGAGGAACACCAAUGGCGAAGGCAGCUCGCUGGGACGGUACUGACGCUGAGGCGCGAAAGCGUGGGGAGCAAACAGG